rnacentral:rRNA from 1 species
UACGGGGGGGGGCAAGCGUUGUUCGGAAUUACUGGGCGUAAAGGGCUCGUAGGCGGCCAACUAAGUCAGACGUGAAAUCCCUCGGCUUAACCGGGGAACUGCAUCUGAUACUGGAUGGCUUGAGUUCGGGAGAGGGAUGCGGAAUUCCAGGUGUAGCGGUGAAAUGCGUAGAUAUCUGGAGGAACACCGGUGGCGAAGGCGGCAUCCUGGACCGACACUGGCGCUGAGGAGCGAAAGCCAGGGGAGCAAACAGG